AAGCAUCUGAAGAGAACCUGCCUCACUAGAGCUGCCCAACUGUCCACAGCUGUCCUGUCCCUCAUGCAGCUCUUCCUCUUUCACCUCAAGGUCAGCUGGGAGGGAGAAAGCGAAGCCAGCUGUGCAAGGGCCAGGAUGGGGGAAGCAGUGCAGAGGAUGGGAUUGAGACCCACAAGGCAUUGGACACCAUAGAUGUCUCAACAGAGUGUGAAGCCAAGGGAAGAACAGCACUGUUGCUGUGUGCUGGUGCUGCUGCCAACAGCACCCAGACCUUCACAGCCAACCCUCCACAGCACACCUCAGACUCUGAACUAACCUGAAUUUGACACUUUCACGGGACAGUUUCCAAGGAAUCCCCCACCUCAAGAGAAGAUGUGGACCUCAACUCAGCCUCGGCAGACAGACACUUCCUACAAGACUAACAUGCCUAUAUGAGAGAUGAAAAUCAAUCUGACCC